AGAGAUGUGUGAUGACGCAUAUCAAUAAGCGGAGGAAAAGAAACUAACAAGGAUUCCCUUAGUAACGGCGAGUGAAGCGGGAAGAGCUCAAAUUUGAAAUCUUCAAGGUUCUACCUUGACGAAUUGUAGUUUAGAGAAGUGUUUUCUGUUAGUGGAGUGGCAAAAGUUCUUUGGAAUAGGACAUCAUAGAGGGUGAGAAUCCCGUAUUUGGUCAUUCCUCCUAGCGUUGUGAUACACUUUCAACGAGUCGGAUUGUUUGGGAAUGCAGUCCAAAAUGGGUGGUAAAUUUCAUCUAAAGCUAAAUAUUGGCGAGAGACCGAUAGCGAACAAGUACCGUGAGGGAAAGAUGAAAAGAACUUUGAAAAGAGAGUUAAACAGUACGUGAAAUUGUCAAAAGGGAAGCGUUUGACACCAGUGUUGUUUUUCCGAAAAUCAAUUACGAAUGUUUUAUUUUUGAGGAGUUAUGACUUCAUCGGCUUGCUCCUUUCUUUAUGAAACUUUCUUAAUGCACUUUUCGGUUAACAAGUCAACAUCAAUUUCUUUUGUUGUAAAAGGGUAUGAGGAAGGUGGCUUUCUUUUCGGAGAAAGUGUUUAUAGCCUUGUGCCUCUGCAAUCGGAGAGAUUGAGGUCUGCAGCGUAGAUCCUUCGGGGUUAGAUACGUUUGUGCUAAGUUAUAGCUUUUCAUAGACAACUUGUUGACUAUGUUUAGUCUUGUAGCUUACUCGCUUACGCUAUUUUACCUACGCUUAGGAUGUUGAGUAGCGACAUACGCAC
rnacentral:rRNA from 1 species